GGUGCAAUAACUGGUAGUAAGAGUAUGCUGAACAUUUUAAACAGUCCUUUACUUAACCAAUUGGGCUCCGUAAACUGUACUGUUGAUUCUGGGAAGGAAAAUAUACAUAAUAGUGAAGAAGCAGUGUUUUCUGAUUUCAUGAGCUCUCCCGGUGGUUUUAGUGUCAGUUCAUAAUAGUGAAGAAGCAGUGUUUUCUGAUUUUAUGAGCUCUCCCGGUGGUUUUAGUGUCAGUUCAUCGGAGAAGCUACAGAAGGGGAUGACAGUUCCGGAAUAUCACAGAAGGGUUCUUUCUGUAUCUAGUACAACUUCG
rnacentral:lncRNA from 1 species